GGCUCAGUCAGUUGAGCACCUGACUUCGGCUCAGGUCACGAUCUCACGGUUCGCGGGUUCGAGCCCCGC
rnacentral:tRNA from 1 species